UACGGAGGGUGCAAGCGUUAUCCGGAUUUACUGGGCUUAAAGGGUGCGUAGGCGGGCUGGUAAGUCAGUGGUGAAAUCUCCAGGCUUAACUUGGAAACUGCCAUUGAUACUAUCAGUCUUGAAUACCGUGGAGGUCAGCGGAAUAUGUCAUGUAGCGGUGAAAUGCUUAGAUAUGACAUAGAACACCAAUUGCGAAGGCAGCUGGCUACACGAAUAUUGACACUGAGGCACGAAAGCGUGGGGAGCAAACAGG
rnacentral:rRNA from 1 species